rnacentral:lncRNA from 1 species
UUUAAACAUAAAUUUGUAAAACAAGGUUUACACUUUUAUUUUACUCUUAACCUAAAAGCUUUUUAAUGUUGAAUAUUUAUUUGGUUGAUGAGCAUAAUUGUUGUUAUAUUUUCUUUCAUGAAAUUUAUAAAUACACAUAAAUUAUUUUAAUAUUUUGUUUUCAGAGAUAAAUAAAUAAAUCAUGUAACGGGACGAGUUCAGUGUAGAACCAACCAAAAAAUGGGGCUAAAGCAUGGCUGCACAAUAUGGGCAAUGA